CAAUCAGAGCUGGAAAGCCAAUAUGCUCACCGCCAUAAAACUGAAAAGAGAGCUCAUUGUGCCUUGGGCACAGCAUCAGGUUUAAUAGAAAAGUAGGCAUGUUUAUAGUCCCAGAUUUACAACAUGACUUAUAAACACCUUAUUACUUAGAGUCCAGUCUGCUGUCCUAGAAACUAAGAAUGUGACUUUGUUAAGCAGAAGGAUUUGUUGACAUAAAGGUCUUGACUCAGUUGGCCUUUGUGGUUAACCAAAAUGCAUUUACUCCUGAGAAAGUCAACACCAGCAAACAAAAUGCCUCUUAUACUACAAUACGGCAAAGGAGAAAGAACCCAACCACAAAACAAUUACUAUGGGAAUUGGAAAAAACAGAACUUAUCUUCAGAGGAGGAAAAUGAAAUUUAAAAAAGUCUCUCCUACACCAAAGAUUAAUGUUAAAUGGUCUCUUGCCCCAAAAGAACUCAAAAAAAGACUUUAAAAAUCAAAUGAGAAAGAGUGAAGAAAAACAAUUUUUAAAAGUAAGAACUAUACCAAAAAGGCUUGAUUAAGUCAACCAACUAGAUAAGAAGAUAUUGUGCCUAAGGAAAAAAAAUAAGCUUUGAAAAUUAGAAUCGGGCAAAGGGGAGCCAACAAAGUUAUAAAAUUAUGAUAAAAGAAAAUUUUAAAAGUGAAAACAUGUAAGACAUCUCAUAAACAAGCAAUAGAUCUGGAAAACAGAUAAAGUGAGAAAAUAUAAGAAUAAUUGGACUACUUGAAAGCUAUCAUCAAAAAGAAAGACUUGAGUAAAAUAAUAUAAGAAAAUAAUUAAAGAAAAUUGUCCUGAAGUAUUUGAACAAGAGGGGAAAGUAAAUUAGAAAAAAAUCCACCUAUUUUCCACCAGGAAAAGCUAUUGGAAUAACAUUGCUAAAUUCCCAAACUCCCAGAUCAAAGAGAAAAUUUUUCAAAUACCAUUACCAAAAAUAAUAAUAAAACUUAAAAAUUCAUAUACAGUGGAGCCGCAAUUAGACUCAUACUAUGAACAAUUACAAUAAAAGACCACAGGUCUUGGAAUACUAUAUAUUGAAGAUCAAAAGAAGUAGAGUUGUGGCAGAAAAUUUCAUAUCUACAAAAAUUAAACAUAACUCUGAAUAUGAAAAAAAAGAAUAUUCAGGGAAUUGCCACACUUUCAGGAUUUUGUUGCAAAAACCUCCUUGAACUUAAUAGCAAAUUUAACAUAUAAGAUCCAAGAGAAAUAUCAAGUAAAUAUCAAAGACUAAUUUCAAAGGGACUCAAUAAGGAUAAAUUGUUUGUUUUACACGUGGAAAUAUAAACCAUAUGUCUUAA